CAGAAAAUAAUUGUUUAUUCAAUUAGGUAUCAAAAUAACACUUGUUGUUAUUUCACAUCUCGAAAACCAUCUAUGAUUGAGUCAAUACUAAACUUUUCUACAAUUUCCGUUUCGAUGUACAUAAAUAAAGAGUCAGUGAGAAAUUCGUUUUCCAUCUUGUUAUGAAUCCUAGUUUUUACUAUAUGCAUAGCAGAAAAUAAUCACUCUGCAAUUGCAGUAGAAACAUGAAGAGUAAGCACAAGCACAACCACUCUAUAAACAAGUGGAUAUGUUGUUGAUCUUCAAGUUGUUACCAUCCAUUGAGAUAGAUCAGAAAUUGUUGACAAGUUUUUGAACUUUGGAAGGCGAAGGACGUCAUCUCAAAAUGUUUUACGAUCUGUCGAAUCCUGUAAAAUCCUGAAAUUACCUAGGUCAACAUACAUGAAUUCGGGUUCCAAAGCAUAGGUAUCCAAAGCGAUACCACUCGCCAGAAAAUCUCAAAAUCAAGGGCCAAGAUUCCUAGGUUCAGGACAUCAAUUGGAGCCACUUUUGUUCUUGGACAUAUCUCGAAAAAUGGCCGGAAGUGGCCGGAAUUUAAUCCCAAAAUCCGGCCAAACUUUGGGUUCCAAAUCGAGCUAGGAAUUGAUCAAAU
rnacentral:lncRNA from 1 species